GAUGAACGCUAGCGGCAGGCUUAACACAUGCAAGUCGAGGGGCAGCGCGGGAUCGCCAUCUCCUGGCGGCGACCGGCGGAAGGGUGCGUAACGCGUGAGCGACAUGCCCGUUGCCCGGGGACAACCGGUGGAAACGCCGACUAAUCCCCGAUGGGAUAUUGUGCCGCAUGGCACGAUAUUGAAAGUUACGGCGGCGACGGAUUGGCUCGCGUCCGAUUAGCUUGUUGGCGGGGUAACGGCCCACCAAGGCUGCGAUCGGUAGGGGUUCUGAGAGGAAGGCCCCCCACAAUGGGACUGAGACACGGCCCAUACUCCUACGGGAGGCAGCAGUGAGGAAUAUUGGUCAAUGGGCGGAAGCCUGAACCAGCCAUGCCGCGUGCGGGAAGGAGGCCCUAUGGGCUGUGAACCGCUUUUGCCUGGGGGCAAUAAGGGCGUCGCGCACGUCCGAUGAGAGUACCAGGCGAAUAAGCAUCGGCUAACUCCGUG
rnacentral:rRNA from 1 species